rnacentral:lncRNA from 1 species
AUUCUCUGAGUUUGUACAAAACACAAAGCUAAUUUGUAAAGACCAAUACAGGACACAAAGAAUCUAAAAAAGAGCAAGGACAGAAAAAGGAAGAGCAGCAAGGAUGCUACUGCACCAACCCAGGUCUAAAAGAAUGGGACUUGAUCCUCUUGACACCAUUUGGAAGAUCAUGUUUAGAAGAACUACAAAAACUAUGCUGGGCUUGUACAUGUCUCAGGACAUAAAUAUGGUUUUCAUAAAGCCCAGAUUGUAUUCCAAAAUAGCCCAUAAGUCCAACAACAGGUGUUAUAUAUUGUACCCUUUUUAAGCACUUUACUUUGAAGAGGGAUACAAAUGAGAGCUUCUGAUGAGAUGACUAGGGAUCUACUGGGCCAGCAUGUCUUGAAGAUGGAGCUUGCUCAUGUGAAUGGCUCAGCAGAUGCAGUGAACUCACAUCCCACUGGAGGCCAUCGCAUGGAGGGGGGGUAGCUGUGCCAAUGUUCAUGUGAAGAGGACACUGGGAAUUGAAGGAGGGAUCGAACUCGGGAACUUGUGCUUGCGAGGCAGGCGGCGGAAUCGCUGAGCUAAAUCCCUGGCCCCAUGCAAGUAAUUUUUGCACAUAUCUCAGUUCUUCAGGGAUCCUGUUGAAGAUCGGACGGCCCAGGGAUAACUCCUCAAUGCCACCCUUCUCAUUCAAGUGCUCUCAUUCUGUUUGACAGUGAACUCUGAAGAUCCAUCUUCUGAAACCAGAUUCAAGGGACU